rnacentral:ncRNA from 1 species
UUAAUUUAAAAAUACAUUAAAAGGGAAUCAAGUAAAUUCUUGAGCUGUACCCGCAACUGUAAGCUAAGUUCUAAAAAGAAUGCUUGCUGUUAACUACAAACCACUGUCGUGCCCCGCGCGAUGGGAAGGUAAACAGCAAGACGCGAGCCAGGAGACCUGCCUUUUGUAA